GCCUUCGUGGUGUAAUGGUGAACACACUGAGCCUGUAUUUCAAAGGUCUGUGGUUCGAUCCCCGGUGAAGGCA
rnacentral:tRNA from 1 species